rnacentral:rRNA from 1 species
CAUGGCUCAGGAUGAACGCUGGCGGCGUGCCUAAUACAUGCAAGUCGAACGAGUUCUGAUUAUUGAAAGGUGCUUGCAUCUCGAUUUAAUUUUGAACGAGUGGCGGACGGGUGAGUAACACGUGGGUAACCUGCCCUUAAGUGGGGGAUAACAUUUGGAAACAGAUGCUAAUACCGCAUAAAUCCAAGAACCGCAUGGUUCUUGGCUGAAAGAUGGCGUAAGCUAUCGCUUUUGGAUGGACCCGCGGCGUAUUAGCUAGUUGGUGAGGUAACGGCUCACCAAGGCAAUGAUACGUAGCCGAACUGAGAGGUUGAUCGGCCACAUUGGGACUGAGACACGGCCCAAACUCCUACGGGAGGCAGCAGUAGGGAAUCUUCCACAAUGGACGCAAGUCUGAUGGAGCAACGCCGCGUGAGUGAAGAAGGCUUUCGGGUCGUAAAACUCUGUUGUUGGAGAAGAAUGGUCGGCAGAGUAACUGUUGUCGGCGUGACGGUAUCCAACCAGAAAGCCACGGCUAACUACGUGCCAGCAGCCGCGGUAAUACGUAGGUGGCAAGCGUUAUCCGGAUUUAUUGGGCGUAAAGCGAGCGCAGGCGGUUUUUUAAGUCUGAUGUGAAAGCCCUCGGCUUAACCGAGGAAGUGCAUCGGAAACUGGGAAACUUGAGUGCAGAAGAGGACAGUGGAACUCCAUGUGUAGCGGUGAAAUGCGUAGAUAUAUGGAAGAACACCAGUGGCGAAGGCGGCUGUCUGGUCUGUAACUGACGCUGAGGCUCGAAAGCAUGGGUAGCGAACAGGAUUAGAUACCCUGGUAGUCCAUGCCGUAAACGAUGAAUGCUAGGUGUUGGAGGGUUUCCGCCCUUCAGUGCCGCAGCUAACGCAUUAAGCAUUCCGCCUGGGGAGUACGACCGCAAGGUUGAAACUCAAAGGAAUUGACGGGGGCCCGCACAAGCGGUGGAGCAUGUGGUUUAAUUCGAAGCAACGCGAAGAACCUUACCAGGUCUUGACAUCUUUUGAUCACCUGAGAGAUCAGGUUUCCCCUUCGGGGGCAAAAUGACAGGUGGUGCAUGGUUGUCGUCAGCUCGUGUCGUGAGAUGUUGGGUUAAGUCCCGCAACGAGCGCAACCCUUAUGACUAGUUGCCAGCAUUUAGUUGGGCACUCUAGUAAGACUGCCGGUGACAAACCGGAGGAAGGUGGGGAUGACGUCAAAUCAUCAUGCCCCUUAUGACCUGGGCUACACACGUGCUACAAUGGAUGGUACAACGAGUUGCGAGACCGCGAGGUCAAGCUAAUCUCUUAAAGCCAUUCUCAGUUCGGACUGUAGGCUGCAACUCGCCUACACGAAGUCGGAAUCGCUAGUAAUCGCGGAUCAGCACGCCGCGGUGAAUACGUUCCCGGGCCUUGUACACACCGCCCGUCACACCAUGAGAGUUUGUAACACCCGAAGCCGGUGGCGUAACCCUUUUAGGGAGCGAGCCGUCUAAGGUGGGACAAAUGAU